GAUGAACGCUGGCGGCGUGCCUAAUACAUGCAAGUCGAGCGAACAGAUGAGGAGCUUGCUCCUCUGACGUUAGCGGCGGACGGGUGAGUAACACGUGGAUAACCUACCUAUAAGACUGGGAUAACUUCGGGAAACCGGAGCUAAUACCGGAUAAUAUAUUGAACCGCGUGGUUCAAUAGUGAAAGACGGUUUUGCUGUCACUUAUAGACUGAUACGCGCCGCAUUAGCUAGUUGGUAAGGUAACGGCUUACCAAGGCAACGAUGCGUAGCCGACCUGAGAGGGUGAUCGGCCACACUGGAUCUGAGACACGGUCGAGACUCCUACGGGAGGCAGCAGUAGGGAAUCUUCCGCGAUGGACGAAAGCCUGACGGAGAAACGCGGCGUGAGUGAUGAAGGUCUUCGGAUGGUAAAACGCUGUUAUUAGGGAAGAACAAAUGUGUAAGUAACUAUGAACGUCUUGACGGUACCUGAUGAGAAAGCCACGGCUAACUCCGUG
rnacentral:rRNA from 1 species